rnacentral:lncRNA from 1 species
CUGGAGUUCAUCCCCAAAGUCAUCCGGUACCGGUUUCAAGACUCAAGCUACUGCAAUCGGGAAACCCCCAAAUCUCUUCCUUCUCUGUCUCCAUUUCAAUGUAGAGGUCCUCAAUGCGUGUUUUCUUGUGCGAACGAGCAUAGGUCGCUGUCUAAACAAAAGUUUACUUGUUGCCUAGCAUUGGAUGGUGUCAAUGUACUUGCCUCUGGUUUUGAGGCAGAUGAAAAGGAGUAACACCUGUUACUUAUCUUUGAUGAUCACUCAUUUGAAAUUUAUCUUGAUUGACUGA